AACGUAGGAGACAAACGUUAUCCGGAGUUACUGGGCGUAAAGGGCGUGUAGGUGGUUUCGUAAGUCUGGCGUGAAAUUUCUCGGCUUAACCGAGGCAGGUCGUCGGAUACUGCGGAACUUGAGGACGGUAGAGGCGUGUGGAAUUCCGGGUGUAGUGGUGUAAUGCGUAGAGAUCCGGAGGAACACCAGUGGCGAAGGCGACACGCUGGGCCGUACCUGACACUGACGCGCGACAGCAUGGGGAGCAAACAGG
rnacentral:rRNA from 1 species